rnacentral:rRNA from 1 species
UACGUAGGGUGCGAGCGUUGUCCGGAAUUAUUGGGCGUAAAGAGCUUGUAGGCGGUUUGUCGCGUCUGACCCGUGAAAAUUCGAGCUCAACCUCGAACUUGCGGUGGGUACGGGCAGACUAGAGUGUGGUAGGGGAGACUGGAAUUCCUGGUGUAGCGGUGGAAUGCGCAGAUAUCAGGAGGAACGCCGAGUGGCGAAGGCAGGUCUCUGGGCCAUUACUGACACUGAGAAGCGAAAGCAUGGGGAGCGAACAGG